GGAAUCCUCCGGGUUCCCGGGUUUCCCAUCUUUCCAUCGGCACCUCCCCCCGGCCCAGGGCUCUGGGGUUGCCCCGCCCACGUACCGCCCGCAGCCACCCGCGGGGCCGCACCGGGGCCGGGCGGGGCGGGCGUGCCGGGCCAGCCUAGGCCCCGCCGCCGGCACCCACUCCCAGGUGCCGGUCCUCAGGUCCUUGCUUCUUCCCGGCGCCAGGGCCUCGGGCCGGGGGUGGGGCCUGACCGGCCGGCUCCGCCGGGCUCCGGGCGGCGCACGUGCGGGCGGGAGGGGAUCCCCGGCGCCGGGGGCGGGGCACCCGGAAGCGCGCGCGGACUUGCCACGCCGAGCCGGCGGGCAGGAGAGCGACGGGGAGGCGGGCGAGUGCCCGGGCCGCGGCCGCCUGUGCUCACAGGUGGGCGGUGGCGGAGGCGCGGCGGAGCGGAGCCGGGGUCUCCGGGACUCCAGCCGUCAUACAGAGAGCCCAGCGGAGCAGAGCUCGGAAGACGCGUCCGCGCCUCGGGAGGAAUCUACCCUUCUCCCUCCACCUGGGCCUCUUUGGCUGCAGCCGCACCUCGGCCCCGGAACCCAGGUAACUUCCCUUCCAAGGUCAUUCUUCGGGCGGGGCGGCGCUCGCGGCCCGCCCACGUCCUCACGGUCGGCGGGGGCGGGAGAGGUGCGCCCUGCGCGGAGCUGGAGACACAGGGCUGGACGGCGACCCCGAGCGCUGCACGGGCGUCUGGUGGCCUCCCCAGGCCGGGUGCGGGCGCCGGCCCCCGCGGCACACGCCUUUCUCCGCCCGCAGCCCAGAGGGUGAGUUUCACCUGCACCUGGGCUUUGGGCGGGGGCCGCUCGGCCCUCCCCAUCCUGCACCGGCAGGUGAGCGCAGCCGCCCGCGCCCCGGCUGUCCGGGCCCGUGUGGUCGGCUGUCACCAUGGGAACCGCUGGUACCAGACGGCGCCAGCCCUGGUAGGAAGGGGCGGUGAAGGCGGUUGGGAGCCCCUAGAGCUCCCUGUCUGGCCGAGCCGAGCAAGAAAAGCCUGA
rnacentral:lncRNA from 1 species